AGGGUUUCAAUGGUUUAGCUUUCGAUAUUUUUAUUUCGUUUUAAAUUCACAAUUUAUUUAUCUGGUAUUUUGCACAGAGUUUUUUGUUGAACUUUAGUUUAGUCACAGUUUUGUUCUUUCUUUUUUUGUAUAAAUACUUACCUUUUUAUUUCCAUUGAGCGAGUUUCGUCCGUCCCGGUUAAAAUUCCAAAUUUUUUUUCAUUACCUCUUCUUCGUUUUAUCAAGUGCUACACAUUUCAUUCACCAAGAAGUGAGGCCCAUAGGCCCUACCCUAGUUGCGAACGCGUAUGUCAGAGUGCUUAGUAGAGGUUCACACGGCGCGAUAGGGCAUAAAUAGGGUAGGCACACUAGCGGAUGUUAAAAUUUUGGAUAUGAAGAUUAUAAUUUCAUGAGAUUUACUUAAUGUGGCAGAUCAUAACGCUCCCCUGAACAUGUUUUCCAAUAAGUCGGAUGUCGUAGGUGCUAACGUAUGUGAGAUAAAAUGGCCUAGGGAGACUGAGCAGAUUGGUCGAUUAGUUCCCCCAAAUUGGACGAAAGGUUCCACUAGUUGUGCGAUAGAUUGGUUUGCUGGAGUAGGGAUGUCAGUUCAGACAUGCUUUUAGGGAUGUACAUGCACGAGCAACCGGAUUUUCCUAGGAAUACACAGAGAGAAAUCGCACUUUUUCCCUCCCAUCCUUUGAUAGCGAUAUCGGCAGGAUGGUUGGGUUUGUGGUGUGCGGCUUUCCGGCUGUGUUCAUCCCCCUUUACACCAUAUGUAUCGCUAUUGUGAAUGAUUUCGAGCAUACUUGAACAACCCUGGGAAUCAGGUGUUCAGUGAUUGAAACGGGUGGAAGAGGAGGAAAGCCGUCAAGGAAGGACUGGUCGAAAGCCUGCCAUGACGGGAAAUUUGCGAAAGAUGGCCGACUUCCUGGCCGGUUUGCCUUCUCUUGGACCUUGGAAUUGGAGUUGGCUGGAUGCAGAAAAAUCGUGGAAAAUCGAACUUACGAACUACAUAUUAAAUAAUCUGAAAAUAAAGAAAAAAUUACAUCCUAAAAAAAAAAAAUAUAUAAGAAAUUAUAAAAAUAAUCUAAAACUACAAGCUUAACUUACCUAAAGGCUACAUACUAAACUUACCUAAGAACUAAGUUAACAAAACCACAAGCAAAAAAAAAUACUUAAAAUCUACAAGCUAGAUAAAAAAAAAAAAAAAAAACAAACAAACAGUGAAUUGAAUACAUCUUAAAGUUACGAAGAUAUCUAAGAAUUGAGCAUACCUAAAAGAAAAAUUACAAUCUAAAUAAGACUAAAAUCUUACAAGCUACAUAACGCUACAUCUUAAAAAUAAAGUUAAAAAAAAAAAAAAAACAACGGAUACACCAUCAUCAACCGCAUCCAGCCACCAUCGCCUCUCCAAUCAACGUGGGAGCUCCAGAUGCUUGUAGCCUCCUCCGGGUUGCAGGGGUAAAUGCCGGACUUCGGACUAAGACGGACGACCUAUAAAGACAAACAUUUUUAUUACAGUUUACACGUACACAUAUAAAUAUAUUUGGGCCAAAUAAUAUUUAAAUAUACAUUGUUCUUACCUGGGGGAGACAAGAAGGGCUAUUUGUCCCAACUCAGUUGCAGUGGGUUCCGUUUUAGAAGGAGCCGUAGGCGCUAGGAUCAGAGCUCUAAUCCGGGUAGGUCCUCAAAACGUUGAAUAGGGAGUUUUUGCCCACCGGGCAAAUAUCAUCUUGUCCAACCAGAAAAGAAAGGAGUAAUUAAAAAAAGAAAAUAGAAAAAGGUAUGAUAUGUUUAUAUUGACAACACGGACGGACAGAACAAACAACGGACGGAUACUAAUACGCGGACGGAUAUUAGCGGCAGCCCGGCCGAAGCGGGUGGAAAUCCUUACUUCAGCGGAGGAAGAUGACUAGACGAUGCCAGAUCAAAGGCGAAAUGGGGACCCCAUGGUCGAAACUUUGAUUAUUGUUAUGAUAUGUAUUUUCUGUUGAUGCCAAUAAAGGCAGUUUUAUAAUGUUUUUACAAGGCAA